rnacentral:rRNA from 1 species
AUGGUGCUGGCGCAUGGCCCCGUCGUUGGCAGCGUUGCGCCGGCGCUGCUGCUCGACGAGCCGGUGGAUGAGAUCGAGCAGCUCAAGGCCAGGGUCUCAGACUUGAGCACCAGGAACACGCUCCACAGCCUCAUCAGUGACACUGGCUCCAUGCCUGCUCAGCACCACAACACUCAGUAUGCUCAUUGGUAG